rnacentral:rRNA from 1 species
UCGGGAAUUUUGGGCAAUGGGCGAAAGCCUGACCCAGCAACGCCGCGUGAAGGAUGAAGUAUUUCGGUAUGUAAACUUCGAAAGAAUAGGAAGAAUAAAUGACGGUACUAUUUAUAAGGUCCGGCUAACUACGUGCCAGCAGCCGCGGUAAUACGUAGGGACCAAGCGUUGUUCGGAUUUACUGGGCGUAAAGGGCGCGUAGGCGGCAAUUCAAGUCAUCUGUGAAAUCUCCGGGCUUAACUCGGAACGGUCAGAUGAUACUGCUUUGCUAGAGUGCAGAAGGGGCAAUCGGAAUUCUUGGUGUAGCGGUGAAAUGCGUAGAUAUCAAGAGGAACACCUGAGGUGAAGACGGGUUGCUGGGCUGACACUGACGCUGAGGCGCGAAAGCCAGGGGAGCAAACGGGAUUAGAUACCCAAGUAGUCCCUGAGCGGGCUGGCAAGGCGCAU